AGUUUGAUCAUGGCUCAGAUUGAACGCUGGCGGCAUGCCUUACACAUGCAAGUCGAACGGCAGCACGGGGGCAACCCUGGUGGCGAGUGGCGAACGGGUGAGUAACAUAUCGGAACAUACCCUAGAGUGGGGGAUAACGUAGCGAAAGUUACGCUAAUACCGCAUACGAUCUAAGGAUGAAAGUGGGGGAUCUUCGGACCUCAUGCUCAUGGAGUGGCCGAUAUCUGAUUAGCUAGUUGGUGAGGUAAAGGCUCACCAAGGCGACGAUCAGUAGCUGGUUUGAGAGAACGACCAGCCACACUGGAACUGAGACACGGUCCAGACUCCUACGGGAGGCAGCAGUGGGGAAUUUUGGACAAUGGGGGCAACCCUGAUCCAGCAAUGCCGCGUGAGUGAAGAAGGCCUUCGGGUUGUAAAGCUCUUUUGUCAGGGAAGAAACGGUGAGUUCUAAUACAGCUUGCUAAUGACGGUACUUGAAGAAUAAGCACCGGCUAACUACGUG
rnacentral:rRNA from 1 species